rnacentral:rRNA from 1 species
AUUGAACGCUGGCGGCAUGCCUUACACAUGCCAGUCGAACGGCAGCACGGGUGCUUGCACCUGGUGGCGAGUGGCGAACGGGUGAGUAAUACAUCGGAACAUGUCCUGUAGUGGGGGAUAGCCCGGCGAAAGCCGGAUUAAUACCGCAUACGAUCUACGGAUGAAAGCGGGUGACCUUCGGGCCUCGCGCUAUAGGGUUGGCCGAUGGCUGAUUAGCUAGUUGGUGGGGUAAAGGCCUACCAAGGCGACGAUCAGUAGCUGGUCUGAGAGGACGACCAGCCACACUGGGACUGAGACACGGCCCAGACUCCUACGGGAGGCAGCAGUGGGGAAUUUUGGACAAUGGGCGAAAGCCUGAUCCAGCAAUGCCGCGUGUGUGAAGAAGGCCUUCGGGUUGUAAAGCACUUUUGUCCGGAAAGAAAUCCUUGGCCCUAAUACGGUCGGGGGAUGACGGUACCGGAAGAAUAAGCACCGGCUAACUACGUG